rnacentral:rRNA from 1 species
GACGAACGCUGGCGGCGUGCUUAACACAUGCAAGUCGAACGAUGAAAGCUAGCUUGCUAGCUGGAUUAGUGGCGAACGGGUGAGUAACACGUGACUAACCUGCCCCUUACUCUGGGAUAACGCUCCGAAAGGAGUGCUAAUACCGGAUAUUUAGUUCUGAACACAUGUUCGGAACUAGAAAGUUUUUCGGUAAGGGAUGGAGUCGCGGCCUAUCAGCUUGUUGGUGAGGUAACGGCUCACCAAGGCGACGACGGGUGGCCGGCCUGAGAGGGCGACCGGCCACACUGGGACUGAGACACGGCCCAGACUCCUACGGGAGGCAGCAGUGGGGAAUAUUGCGCAAUGGGCGAAAGCCUGACGCAGCGACGCCGCGUGAGGGAUGAAGGUCUUCGGAUUGUAAACCUCUUUCAGCAGGGACGAAGCGAAAGUGACGGUACCUGAAGAAGAAGCACCGGCUAACUACGUGCCAGCCGCCGCCGUAACAC